CAUGAGCACAGUUGACACCAUCGAAGUGCAGAUGUUUACUUUCUACAUGAGUUGUUCUUUUUCAGUUUCAUGCUAAGAACAGAUUGUAGUGGUAAAAUAAAAAGGGAUACAUUUCUUUGUACCAUUUAGAGGACAUUGAAUUCCAAGCAUCACUCCAGUUAUAAGAGGCUCUGCGAAGCUUGGAUGGAAGGAACUAUUGGAAGGACUACAGAAGUUACCCAGCCUGCUGACUAAGAAAUGCUUACAGUGUCAUGACAAGCCAAAAAACUCAGGAGGUUGAUGUGCCCUCUGGAAAUUCCCGAAAUGUGCCCCUAAGUCAUGUUGGAGAAGGACGCAAACAGAUCUGAUCCAUCACACGACUCUUCAAGAGGACCACUGCGCUCUAGAUGGCCAGCUGUGGUCAGAGUUCCCUGAUGAGGAUCUACCCCAUCACACCACUCUAAUGAAUCAUUCAUCAAAUAAAACAAUGGGUCUUUAUAUACUCCCAGUAUUUCUAUG